AUUGAACGCUGGCGGCAGGCCUAACACAUGCAAGUCGAACGGUAACAGAAAGCAGCUUGCUGCUUUGCUGACGAGUGGCGGACGGGUGAGUAAUGUCUGGGAAACUGCCUGAUGGAGGGGGAUAACUACUGGAAACGGUAGCUAAUACCGCAUAACGUCGCAAGACCAAAGAGGGGGACCUUCGGGCCUCUUGCCAUCGGAUGUGCCCAGAUGGGAUUAGCUAGUAGGUGGGGUAACGGCUCACCUAGGCGACGAUCCCUAGCUGGUCUGAGAGGAUGACCAGCCACACUGGAACUGAGACACGGUCCAGACUCCUACGGGAGGCAGCAGUGGGGAAUAUUGCACAAUGGGCGCAAGCCUGAUGCAGCCAUGCCGCGUGUAUGAAGAAGGCCUUCGGGUUGUAAAGUACUUUCAGCGAGGAGGAAGGUGUUAUGGUUAAUAACCACAGCAAUUGACGUUACUCGCAGAAGAAGCACCGGCUAACUCCGUGCCAGCCGCCGCGGUAA
rnacentral:rRNA from 1 species